AGUUUUGCAGGUCUUGCAUCGGCCUAUGUCAAUUGCUGUGCAAAUCCAUGCAAAACUGA
ensembl:miRNA mdo-mir-19b-2 mdo-mir-19b-2